UCUCCACGCCUUGUUGCCCCCCUAUCCUCUGCUUGCUAUCUCUGUUCACUACACCAUGCUUGUUCAUGUACUCUUGUAAUUUUGACGCUGUCUCCUGUUUGUUCCUUUGUGUUUGUGACCCUGUAAACUGUUCUCUUGUUAGUUUCCCCAGUCUUUAGUUUCUUGCCCUGCUCCCUGACCUACUGUUUAGUUUAGCAUUUUGGAAUUCUUUGCUUGUGUGUUUUUCCCCUUUAGCCUCGUUCUCUACUAUUUAAUAAAGCCCUAUUUGAACCUUCCCUUGCCUUGUGUGUCUGCAUAUUGGGUCCUUCCCAGCCCUUAACCAUAACAUAGUGGAAUGGCCUGCAGACCAUCGGUGUGAUGAUAUAACUGGACCUGAUGGAUGAGAGGACAGAUGCACAAGACAUCCUGGAAAACAAGCUGCUGCCACUCCGCAGAGGCUCAGUGACUCUGCACCAGUGGCAGCAGCUGGCCAAAACAAACCUGGGAGGUAUUCUGCAACCACGUCCGGGUGUCUUGACUAAAGACUUCAGGGAGCUUGAGGUGGACAUACAGCAGGUCUGCAGCCUGAACAACCUGGAGGAGCAUGAGCCUGACCUCUCACAGCCCUCUGGAGCACAUGGCAGGUCUCUCCAUCUGGUCCCAACCUCGGCCAGACCUCUCCCACACAUACCAUAACCACCUGCCACGUCCUCUGACCCUCCCUCCUCAUGCCCUCCAUCUCCACUAGAACUGCGAGCAUGUAAGCACUUCAUCUCCAACCCACCAGCAGCACUUUGGCCUGGGACACCAGACCACCUCCACCAUGACCACAAACAUAACCAGUUCAUCCCUGGGACUCCUGCAGCUGCUGCAAGAGCAUAGCAUCUCGGCCUCUCUUUAUCCCCACCACAACCUGCACCCAUACUACCAACCUGCAUCCUACAGCCAUAGCACAAAACCUUCAUUCUCCACAGAAAAAGACAAAGGCUCAUCAUCAGACAAAAAAAAGAAGGAAUAUUUUCAGCCUGAACUUGAUGGGGAAGCUUCAGAGCCUUGGGUUGCAAAGAGUGGCAGUCUGGGGGCUGAUGGGUCAUAAUGGCAAAGAGAGACAAGCAGUCGGGCAUCCUCCGAAAGUCUGACGGGGGCUGAUCCACCAUGUACUCUCUCAUUCACUGAAGUGACUUGACAUCAGGCCAUGUGAUCGCCACAGCACUGGCAUCCUGAAAACAAAAACCCCAAAAUAUAGAGCCAUACUUGAGUUUUUGCCCUUAUGUUUUUUUUGUAUUUUUUUUUUUUAUGAAUUUGUGUACAGCAGAUAAAUUCACUGUGUGGGUGACAUCUUUACCUCAAAACAAUCACCUGAUCACUGAUUACCAGUCUGUUUGACUGAC